rnacentral:rRNA from 1 species
UCGGGAAUUUUGGGCAAUGGGCGAAAGCCUGACCCAGCAACGCCGCGUGAAGGAUGAAGUAUUUCGGUAUGUAAACUUCGAAAGAAUAGGAAGAAUAAAUGACGGUACUAUUUAUAAGCUCCGGCUAACUACGUGCCAGCAGCCGCGGUAAUACGUAGGGAGCAAGCGUUGUUCGGAUUUACUGGGCGUAAAGGGCGCGUAGGCGGCGCGGUAAGUCACUUGUGAAAUCUCUGGGCUUAACCCAGAACGGCCAAGUGAUACUGUCGCGCUAGAGUGCAGAAGGGGCAAUCGGAAUUCUUGGUGUAGCGGUGAAAUGCGUAGAUAUCAAGAGGAACACCUGAGGUGAAGACGGGUUGCUGGGCUGACACUGACGCUGAGGCGC